rnacentral:rRNA from 1 species
AGUGAACGCUGGCGGUAUGCCUAACACAUGCAAGUCGAACGGCAGCACAGUAAGAUCUUGCUCUUACGGGUGGCGAGUGGCGGACGGGUGAGGAAUACAUCGGAAUCUACUUUUUCGUGGGGGAUAACGUAGGGAAACUUACGCUAAUACCGCAUACGACCUACGGGUGAAAGCAGUGGAGCUUCGGACCUUUCGCGAUUCAUUUAGCCGAUGUCGGAUUAGCUAGUUGGCUGGGUAAAGGCCCACCAAGGCGACGAUCCGUAGCUGGUCUGAGAGGAUGAUCAGCCACACUGGAACUGAGACACGGUCCAGACUCCUACGGGAGGCAGCAGUGGGGAAUAUUGGACAAUGGGCGCAAGCCUGAUCCAGCAAUACCGCGUGGGUGAAGAAGGCCUUCGGGUUGUAAAGCCCUUUUGUUGGGAAAGAAAAACAGCAGGUUAAUACCCCGCUGUUCUGACGGUACCCAAAGAAUAAGCCCCGGCUAACUUCGUG